rnacentral:ncRNA from 1 species
CUUUCAUGUAAGCACGCAGACGCCAAAUUACGCAAUCCUGAUACCAGGAGGUUUGUGCCAAUAAAUACCGUAUGCAGGACCUUUUGGUCUUUUUAAUGGAAUGAGUACAAUUUAAAUCCUUAACGAGGAACAAUUGGAGGGCAAGUCUGGUGCCAGCAGCCGCGGUAAUUCCAGCUCCAAUAG